rnacentral:lncRNA from 1 species
CAGCCAAUAGGCCAAUAGCUCCUCCUGAGAUUACAGGGUAGUGUUCUGAACUGAGAUGCUGUAUUAGGUCCCAGUGGACCAACUAAGAAUCAAGAUGGAGUCACUCCUGCUGAAAUUGUGUGCCCUAAGCAGAAACAAUUACAGAACCUUGAAAGAGUCAUGAAGACGGUGGGGGAGAGAGAGAGAGAGAGAGUCUUUGGCAGUUCUUCAGGGCCACAAGAGUGGGAGCAGAUAGCUUCUUCCUAUCUGGCAAAGUGGUUGAACCGGCCUUCAAGUGUGCCAAUGUGCAUCCAGCAUGAAGAGAGCGUGGCAAGCUACUCCCCUAUCCUGAUUGAAUACAGAAAUAUUUUAUAAAUUAUCAAGGGCCAUCAAAUAUUACCACAUUCCUUCAUAUCCGUGCCCUUUCAAAAGCAGAUGGAACAUUUUGGAGCAGUAAAUUAAAUGAGUGACUUUUGUGCAGUGCUUUUUAACCCAAAGCAGAGUUGUCUUUCAAGGAUUGUUCAGCAAAGUCUGCAGACAGUUUGUGUCAUCACUGUUUGUGGAACAGUUCUGGCAUCUGUGAGUAGAGGCCAGGAUUCUGCUAAGCAUCCUACAAUGAGCAGGAUAAUUUCCCCACAACAAAGAUGUAUCCCAACUCAAGUGUUCCCUUGGAGCCCUUUGGUGAUAUCGAUUUACCUGCAAACAAAGCCAAAUCCUACAAGAAUCCCGGAAGACAACCUUCCACAAAAUGCCUUUCUUGUUGUGUUGGUCUGCCUGGGAUUACAAGGACGACCUGGAGUGGGAUAACUCAUGCUGAACACUGUGAUCUUUUAGUGAAUCCCCGGAGAAAUCUGCAAGGAUUGUCAGCUGCAUGGAAAGCUUUUGGGAGGCUAAAAAUAAUCUGUCUUGCAUUCAACAAUUGCUUAAGAGUUUUCCAUUGUAAAUGGUAGCAAAAAUUGAUGUAUCCCAUCUUCUGAAUCUUUCCCAAGUUUUAAUUAUGUCACAACUUGUAUCCUUUGUCAAUAGAUCUUUCGAAUUGAUUUGUCCAUGUUUUGUCCCGCGCGCUAUAUGUUCUCGCCGGCAAGAAUCACGCAGGACACUCG